GCGGGCGUAGCAUAAUGGCUAAUGCAGUAGCCUUCCAAGCUACUGAUGAGGGUUCGAUUCCCUUCGCCCGCUCCA
rnacentral:tRNA from 1 species